rnacentral:tRNA from 1 species
GCAGAGAUGGUCGAGCGGUUUAAGGCACACGCUUGGAAAGCGUGCGAACUGUAACAGGUUCCGGAGGUUCGAAUCCUCUUCUCUGCGCCA